AUAGGAAUAGCUCAGUGGUAGAGUGCAUGCUUAGCAUGCAUGAAGUCCUGGGUUCAAUCCCCAGUACCUCCA
rnacentral:tRNA from 1 species